GGCAGCACAUGGGAUGUAAGCCUGAGCAGUUAAGAGCCUUUUUCUCCUUCUUCUUUCCUCCCUACGGCUGCCAACUGUGACAGAAAGAAAUGAACAAGGCUAAAGUUACUCCAGCACUUAUAAGGAGGAAAACUGAAGCAUUCAUUUUUCAAUCCAGAUAUUGUCCAGCUUGAAAGACUUUCCUGCUCUUUGACAAACACUGGAAGGUUCAACUUUGAUGCUAUGAGGGCUGAAGCAGGUGACAAUCUGAAGAAAUUGCUGGAAGUAGAGAAGCGUUUAUUUUUGUCAACAGAGGAUUUAAAAAUACAGCACACAGAAUUUGUUCAAAACAGUGUCAGUGCUUCAAAGGACCUGCAGGAGGAGUUGGCCAACAUCGAAAAGAAGAAAGAAGAACUAGCUGACUAUCUUUGUGAAGACCGAAAAAAAAUGUCCUUGGAAGAUGUAUUUAACACAAUGAAAACCUUCAGGGAACUCUUCCUCAAGGCCUUGCAGGUGGUUUGCAUUUGUGACUGUUUAGAAAUAGAUGGAGAACUUUUCUUGGGCAAAGUCUAACUGGAUAAUAUGUUUACAUGUUGGUAUUUUACUGCAUUAGUUCAAACCUACAAGCUUUAUGUCCACUACAAAGCUGCAAAUUCCCUAAGAGAUUACGUUUAGCACUUCAUUGGCUUAUACGGUCUUGCUCCUUGCAUUAAGGGAUAAGAAAACAGCAACUUCACCAUAAAGGUUUGCAUACCUUACUGAUUAUGCAGUAUCUGAAUUAAUGCACUUCCUCUAAGGAUUUCUUAAUGCCAGGUGACAGUAGCUUCACAUACGUGUUUUACUGAUUCCAGCAGAGCCCAGGGACGGAUUUGCCUUCAACAAGUAUUGCCAGAAUACAGAAACAUCUGUUCUGGGCAAAGGCAGGGCAAGAGGAGAGGGGUGCUUCAGGGCAAAUCAGAGCCUCUGGUGAAAGAGCUUCUGAGUAGUGUCUGAAGGCAAAGGAUGGUGAAGAUAUCCUUCGUGUUUGUACAACCUGCUCCUCCUAUGAGACACUGGGGUUCAGUUUUGCAAGCAAUGCCAUCACCAGGCUCAGAAGCAAUGUGAUAUUGUCCCAGACAGUCUGGAAUUUUUUUUUUAUUAUUAUUAUUUUCAAACAAAGUGCUUCUUCUUUCCCCGAGGGCUCUUUGUUAUCUGUCAGAUAACAAAAACAGAGCAACACAAAGGAAAUUGAUAAUGUGAAUCUACUUGCUUCAUCUUCAUCUACCUAAAGAGGGGGGGAGAAAAAGUGUUUCAAACACCACAACUGACACAAUGGGUAGGAGCAGGUCUUCAUACAGGGCUGAAUGUUCCCUACUUCUCAAAAGAUAAAAGGAGCAGAUGGCAGGAAGAAGGAGAUAGAAUGAAAAUAGUCUCCCUGCUUAAAGAUAAAACCCAGAAUUGAAGCUACACUGAGAACUGAGUUGUAAAACUGGGGGGAGAACGAAGCAGUCUGAUCAUGGAGGGCUGGGAGAAACAUUUUAUUUCUCUUAGCACUUGCAGCUGUUCAAAGAGGAUGCUCCCUACAAAGAAGCUGUUUAAUUUCAGGAAAAGGAGAAGAAAAAUUGAACAAAAUCUGCUCUAGGAAGUACCCAGGUCAUUACAAAGAUUAUACUGACAGCUCUGCACAGGGAUAGAUUCUGAGUGCUCCCAGAUAACAGAGCUUAAACAGCUGCUCCUCGGUAGGGUGCUGGAACAGGAUGUGCUUUAGAUAGUGUGAGGAUAUAGAGUUGUCAAUGGAGCAUCUUCAAAUUCAAAGAUCAAAUAUGUACCUGACAUCUCAUAAAGUGUAAAUCCAAAGGGACACCCUUUUUAUUUAAUUUCAUCCAUACAGCUGUCUUCAGUAAUCCAGGAGAUGGAGAAAGGAUUGUGAACGUUCAUUCCUCUGCCUUAGUGGACUUCCUCGUGUUGAAGUAACACUGUCACCAGAAUGCUUGUCAGAUUUCUAUGGCUUUCUUUUUAAUUUCUCUGUGUGACUCAGUUUAGGCUUGCUCAAUCCAUAGUUUUUAUUUCCUAAAGUGUUUUGGUUUGUAUUCAUACAGCGUGUGCUGCUCAAGUAGCUAGACAUUGUAUCUACCCCCAAACUGAUCUCCUUUAUUUCUUGUGGCAUGUUACAUGCAGGCAUUCUCCUAGGGUCUGUAGAUCUCCAAGUCUCUCAGCUGCUGUAAUAUCUCUAAGACAUUAUGCUACGGCACAGCAGGAAUUUAUCAGGCAGGCACGUAGGAGGCAUACAAUGAUGAAAGGCUUUUACCCUCACCCUAAAUUUUCACCAACUGCAUCUUUCUUUCAGAAGCACUUUCUCCUCAGGACGAAUGUAUCUUUUUAUUUCUUUGCCAAGAAAGCACUGCUUUUUUUUUUCUCCUUUUCUAGGCGUCCAGAGAAGGUCCCCAUAACCUUGAACCUGCAGUGUUCCUAUGUUUCUGGGAGACUAACUGGUCUAGAAGUUUUUGUGGAAGAAACGAUCCCAGCUUUUACCUUCUGUAAAAGAUCUAAGGAAGUUAUGCACAUUUCCUGGGACUCCUGUCUGUUUCAUAGAAAUAGUGGCAGGCGAUCUGUAGCAGUUAACCAAAUCUACCCAUACUAUGAGAAAAAAGUCUUUUCUGCUGCCAAGCUCCCUGAAAAGGAGACCAGAUGUGUCUCACUGAGAAUUUUAUUUUCACCCAUCGUUAUCAUCUUCCCGGACAUUAGUAAAUUUUGUAAUAUGAUACAGCAGCACAAGUCUCUAUGACAACAACCCAACAAUUACUGAGAUACCUACAACAUGUAGAUUAGCUAUGGACUGGUUGCAAUUAGAAGCAGGCAAGCUCCCAGGUGGUGAAGGCAGUGUUCUGAUGAUGAUUGUAGUUCUGGAACAAGGAUUCCAUAAGCAUUUAAGUAAAUGGCUUUUUGUCAUCUUGAUGUUCCAUUGUAGUUAGCGUAGCUGAUCAGAACUAUCCUCUCCUACAAUUGUGCUGUCAAAGCCCAGAAAUACUUCUCCAUUGAGUAAAGGUCUUUCUGUACUAGAAGGAAUCAUUCAACCUCUUUCUUUUCCUACGUUAGUUAUAUUGUCCUGGAUCCAAAAGUUCUAAGGAAACCAGAGUCCAACCUGUCUGCAAAAGCCCCAAAGAUUUAUACCAUCCUGACAGUUGGAUGUCUCUCAGUACUAGCCAUACGGUUUGGAUUCUGCUGUUGCUGCUGAACACCACUGCAUAAAUAUAGCGAGCAAAUUUAAAGGGUGCCUGAAGUAAAACUGUGAAUUACUGUUUAACACAGUUGGAAUUUCUGGUAGAAGUCUCUGAGUACAAACAAUAUAAAACCAAGGUCGCUAUGGGAUAAAUAUCUAGAAUGCUAACUAAAUUAAACAAAUGUUGAGCUGUGUGGGCAAAAAGAUUCAUUAAGAAGAAUGCAUUCAAGUCUGUGGUUGAAUUGUUGCAGUUAAAGCUAUGAACUCAUUUGCUGGUAACAUAAGAUGGAGAAGGCAUUGACCAAGAAGCUCAGUUGUGUUAGUUAUCCUCAAACCCCAGCAGCUGAGCAACGUCACUGUAAGUGCAUAGGGUAUAUUUAGAAUAACUGUUAACUGCAAACAGAGUAUAGUAACUGGCUUUUCUUCUUGUAACCCUUCAUAUUUAAUUUUCUAUUUGUCAUUCUAUCUGAAUAUAGGAAAACCAAGAAAGGAAGGAGCAAGCUGCAAAGUCUGAGAAAAGGAAGAAAGAACUUAAAGUAGAAGACGCGAAGAGGCUAAAGGCAGAGCAUGGAAAGAGCAGUGUAUUUAGAAAAAAAUGAUUCUGUUUUUAUUAGCCAGACUUUUAUUAAUUAGAAGCAGAUUGUGUUUAGCUGUAGGUGAUCUAACAGAGUAAGAGUGAUGUAGCCAUUCCUGAUGCUAUUGUUAAACAGAAAGUUUAGCAAAGCAUCAAUUUUCAAGGGCUCAUGAAUGAUCAGAAGAAAUCAUGACAAAAAUAUCACUCCCAAUGAACAAGCUACUCCCAUUUUUCUUAAAGUUGGGUAAUAUACUGGUAUUGCUUUGAACAGCUGUUUGAAGGCUUUUAGGGAACACAAUGAGGUAGCACAAACUUGAACUUCAAGCUACUACGUUGUACCUGAGCUAGGCAAGCUGUGCCAUGUAUUACUGUUCUCUCAACGUUCCCUUUUUUCUGACUAAAGUUCUGAUUCCUUUAAGUGGUUAUGUGUGCACUUUAAUAAUAUGACUUGCUGAAAAACAGCAGUCUGAUGUAAAUCCAGAAAAGAUUUUGUUGAGCUGGGUGUGAGGUAUUUCUAGUGUUAAUAUUAACAGAUACGUGUUUUAACAUUAUAUUUUGGUCAAUAGUUGACCUGCAGUUUUCUUAAAGAUUUCUGCUUGGUACCAUUUGGUUGUGAUUCUUUGUUCUUCAGUGAACUACUGCAAAACUGGCAUUAGUAAACUUGUGUGGAGUCCACAUAAAUAUUGCAUUGGAUGCUCACCCCUUGGAAGACUGUUUUCCCUUCUUCCUGUAGAAGAAGACUGUUUUCCCUUCUUCGCGUCUAACUACACGGCCUUCUUCUAAUUCCUCCAUCAAAACUACUCAUCUUUGGAAAUGCAUUUUAAAAAUACAUAUAAAUACAGUGAAAACUGACCAAAACAAUGUUUUCUAUAUUGUCUUGACAAGCUGUACUGCAAAUAUUUUAUCUACUUUGCAUACCUAAUGUAAAGUUGCAGAUUCAAACAAUAAAACUUUUCUGAUGUAAA